GACGACGCUGGCGGCGUGGAUUAGGCAUGCAAGUCGAACGGUAUCAUCCUUUCGGGGGUGAGAGAGUGGCGAACUGGUGAGUAACACGUAGGUUAUCUACCCUCAAGACGGGGACAACCCAGGGAAACUUGGGCUAAUACCGGAUGUGAGCAACUUUUAGUUGUUUGAAAGGUGGCGUAAGCUGUCGCUUGGGGAUGAGCCUGCGUCCUAUUAGUUAGUUGGUGAGGUAACGGCUCACCUAGGCAAUGAUAGGUAGGCGGCCUUAACGGGUGGUCGCCCACACUGGGAUUGAGAUACGGCCCAGACUCCUACGGGAGGCAGCAGUCGAGAAUAGUCUACAAUGGUCGGAAGACUGAUAGUGCGACGCCGCGUGAACGAUGAAUCCCUUCGGGGUGUAAAGUUCUUUUAUAUGUGAGCAGUGCUUCUUAUAUUAACAGUAUGGGGAGAGAGAUAUUAGCAUAUGAAUAAGCAACGGCUAACUACGUG
rnacentral:rRNA from 1 species